GUUGUAUGGUUAAGUGACUAAGCGUACACGGUGGAUGCCUUGGCAGUCAGAGGCGAUGAAAGACGUAGUAACUUGCGAUAAGCCCAGAUUAGGUAGUAACAACCAUUUGAGUCUGGGAUUUCUGAAUGGGGAAACCCACGUGCAUAAGCACGUAUCCUUACCUGAAUACAUAGGGUAAGGAGGCGAACCGGGGGAACUGAAACAUCUAAGUACCCCGAGGAAAAGAAAUCAACCGAGAUUCCGAAAGUAGCGGCGAGCGAAAUUGGACUAGCCCUUAAGCUUUACACGCGUUAGACGAACGGUCUGGAAAGUCCGACGAUACAGGGUGAUAGUCCCGUAGUUGACGACGUGUGUUCAGUGAAAUCGAGUAGGGCGGGACACGUGAUAUCCUGUCUGAAUAUGGGGGGACCAUCCUCCAAGGCUAAAUACUACUGACUGACCGAUAGUGAACCAGUACCGUGAGGGAAAGGCGAAAAGAACCCCUGUGAGGGGAGUGAAAUAGAACCUGAAACCGUGUACGUACAAGCAGUAGGAGCAGGCUUUGUCCUGUGACUGCGUACCUUUUGUAUAAUGGGUCAGCGACUUAUAUUCAGUGGCAAGGUUAACCAUCUAGGGGAGCCGUAGGGAAACCGAGUCUUAACUGGGCGUUCAGUCUCUGGAUAUAGACCCGAAACCAGGUGAUCUAGCCAUGGGCAGGUUGAAGGUUGAGUAACAUCAACUGGAGGACCGAACCGACUAAUGUUGAAAAAUUAGCGGAUGACUUGUGGCUAGGGGUGAAAGGCCAAUCAAACCUGGAGAUAGCUGGUUCUCCCCGAAAGCUAUUUAGGUAGCGCCUCGGACGAAUACUACUGGGGGUAGAGCACUGUUAAGGCUAGGGGGUCAUCCCGACUUACCAACCCUUUGCAAACUCCGAAUACCAGUAAGUACUAUCCGGGAGACACACGGCGGGUGCUAACGUCCGUCGUGGAGAGGGAAACAACCCAGACCGCCAGCUAAGGUCCCAAAUUACUACUAAGUGGGAAACGAUGUGGGAAGGCUCAGACAGCCAGGAUGUUGGCUUAGAAGCAGCCAUCAUUUAAAGAAAGCGUAAUAGCUCACUGGUCGAGUCGGCCUGCGCGGAAGAUGUAACGGGGCUAAGUAGUAAACCGAAGCUGCGGCAAUAUACUUUUGUAUAUUGGGUAGGGGAGCGUUCUGUAAGCGGUUGAAGGUGUGUGGUAACGCAUGCUGGACGUAUCAGAAGUGCGAAUGCUGACAUGAGUAACGAUAAAGGGGGUGAAAAACCUCCUCGCCGGAAGACCAAGGGUUCCUGUCCAACGUUAAUCGGGGCAGGGUAAGUCGACCCCUAAGGCGAGGCCGAAAGGCGUAGUCGAUGGGAAACGGGUUAAUAUUCCCGUACUUCUUACAAUUGCGAUGGGGGGACGGAGAAGGCUAGGUGGGCCUGGCGACGGUUGUCCAGGUUCAAGUGCGUAGGCUUGAGAGUUAGGUAAAUCCGGCUCUUUUUAAGGCUGAGACACGACGUCGAGCACCUACGGGUGUGAAGUCAUUGAUGCCAUGCUUCCAGGAAAAGCCUCUAAGCUUCAGAUUGUAAGGAAUCGUACCCCAAACCGACACAGGUGGUCGGGUAGAGAAUACCAAGGCGCUUGAGAGAACUCGGGUGAAGGAACUAGGCAAAAUGGUACCGUAACUUCGGGAGAAGGUACGCUCUCGACGGUGAAGUCCCUUGCGGAUGGAGCUAUUGAGAGUCGCAGAUACCAGGUGGCUGCAACUGUUUAUUAAAAACACAGCACUGUGCAAAAUCGUAAGAUGACGUAUACGGUGUGACGCCUGCCCGGUGCCGGAAGGUUAAUUGAUGGGGUUAGACUUCGGUCGAAGCUCUUGAUCGAAGCCCCGGUAAACGGCGGCCGUAACUAUAACGGUCCUAAGGUAGCGAAAUUCCUUGUCGGGUAAGUUCCGACCUGCACGAAUGGCGUAAUGAUGGCCACGCUGUCUCCACCCGAGACUCAGUGAAAUUGAAAUCGCUGUGAAGAUGCAGUGUACCCGCGGCUAGACGGAAAGACCCCGUGAACCUUUACUACAGCUUGGCACUGAACAUUGACCCUACAUGUGUAGGAUAGGUGGGAGGCUUUGAAGCACGUACGCCAGUAUGUGUGGAGCCGUCCUUGAAAUACCACCCUUGUAGUGUUGAUGUUCUAACGUCGACCCCUAAUCGGGGUUGCGGACAGUGCCUGGUGGGUAGUUUGACUGGGGCGGUCUCCUCCCAAAGAGUAACGGAGGAGCACGAAGGUGGGCUAAUCACGGUUGGACAUCGUGAGGUUAGUGCAAUGGCAUAAGCCCGCUUGACUGCGAGAAUGACAAUUCGAGCAGGUGCGAAAGCAGGUCAUAGUGAUCCGGUGGUUCUGAAUGGAAGGGCCAUCGCUCAACGGAUAAAAGGUACUCCGGGGAUAACAGGCUGAUACCGCCCAAGAGUUCAUAUCGACGGCGGUGUUUGGCACCUCGAUGUCGGCUCAUCACAUCCUGGGGCUGAAGUCGGUCCCAAGGGUAUGGCUGUUCGCCAUUUAAAGUGGUACGCGAGCUGGGUUUAGAACGUCGUGAGACAGUUCGGUCCCUAUCUGCCGUGGGCGUUGGAAGAUUGAAGGGGGCUGCUCCUAGUACGAGAGGACCGGAGUGGACGAACCUCUGGUGUUCGGGUUGUGUCGCCAGACGCAUUGCCCGGUAGCUAAGUUCGGAAUCGAUAACCGCUGAAAGCAUCUAAGCGGGAAGCGAGCCCUGAGAUGAGUCUUCCCUGAUACUUUAAGUAUCCUAAAGGGUUGUCGGAGACUACGACGUUGAUAGGUCAGGUGUGUAAGUGCUGUGAGGCAUUGAGCUAACUGAUACUAAUUGCCCGUGAGGCUUAACCAUACAACACCCAAGGGGUUU
rnacentral:rRNA from 1 species